GCACUCGUGGCCCAGUGGUUAGGGUACUGCCUUCCCAGUCGUCCGUCCGUUAGGCGGGCGGGAUGUCAGGCAGGGGUCGCGGGUUCAAUCCCCGCCGGGUGCA